CCUACGUGAGGCAGCAGUGGGGAAUCUUCCGCAAUGGGCGAAAGCCUGACGCAGCGACGCCGCGUGAGGGAUGAAGGUCUUCGGAUCGUAAACCUCUGUUAGCAGGGAAGAACGGUCAUUGUGCUAAUCAUCAGUGAAUUGACGGUACCUGCAAAGGAAGCACCGGCUAACUCCGUGCCAGCAGCCGCGGGAAUACGGAGGGGGCGAGCGUUAAUCGGAAUUACUGGGCGUAAAGCGCUCGUAGGCGGUAUGUCAAGUCAAGGGUGAAAGCCCCGCGCUCAACGUGGGAACGGCAUUUGAAACUGGAAAACUGGAGUGUGUGAGAGGAUAGUGGAAUUCCAGGUGUAGGAGUGAAAGCCGUAGAUAUCUGGAGGAACAUCAGUGGCGAAGGCGACUAUCUGGCACAUAACUGACGCUGAGGAGCGAAAGCGUGGGUAGCAAACAGGAUUAGAUACCCCAGUAGUC
rnacentral:rRNA from 1 species